CUCUGUAAAAGUAGAGGGUUGAACCUUGAGCUAGACAGGAAAUGAGAGGUUAGUUACCAUUCUGUGGUUCUGAGAAGCCACAGAAGAUCUUUGCUGUGCAGUGUGUGAAAAUGGUUAUUCUCGGAUCUGCACUUGGUGGAAACUCACAGUGCCUUGCACACAGUUUGAGUUCAGUUUGCUGGCUGGCUGCUAGUUGAUGUGUGUUAGUGAAAACACACUCAAAGAACCCAAUGCCUGGUAGACCUUAUUCCCUCUGUGCUGAUAAAAGUGAAUGUAGUUUCCCUAGGAAGGAGGGGCUGGGAUCUCUGUUUGCCAUGUGGAAUCUGACUACGCAGUUGGUAUCAGGUGUGACAUUGGUAUCCGCUUAGACUGUGUGAAGAGUUGCAGGCUCAAUUUCACAUCUCCUUCAGUGUCUCACCAAGUUCCCUGCUCACCAAAAGGAUCUAUCCGAACGGACUUAGAAAAUUCGGUGGAAAGGAAAAUGGCAUGAAAGUUCAAACCCAAGUCACUUCUGGUUUCAUUCCUAGCUCUGCUGCUUAAUUCCUCUGUACCUCAUGUCCUCAUUGCUGAAGUGGGGACAAUAUUCUGGACCUACCUCACAGGGGAAUUGAGGGUCUUUUUCAUGUGUCUGUGUGCUUAGAAGCUGACUAAAAGAAAUAUUGGAUAGCAUGAUUAUAUAAUUUCUACGUAGAUGUGACUUUCAGUCUGCAUUAUGUUUUCUUUCUCAGUAACAUCCUACAGAGUGUUCUGACUCAAUUUUUUUCCCAAGUCAUUUUUGUUGCUAAUGCCCUAUUUGUUAAACAUGAGUGAUUGUACUAUAUUAAUACUUGAUUUAGGGAGGAAAGCAGGUGGGUGUAAACUAGUGGCCCUCAGGUUAGAGUAGAUGAAAAAUAGCAGUGGAAAGUAGCCUUGAGCCUUUCUCAAGAAUCAUUAAUUCACAUAACACUAAAGGCCACACACUGACCUAUCACAUUCCUUCUACACCAGCCAAACAACACAUGGAAUCACCAUGCAUUUUGCUCAUGUUCUUUCCUGUUCUGUCUAUUGACAUGCUUACUGACACUGAUUAAAAGCUGUGAAUGGAAGUGUGCUUGUAAUUAAUAGAAAUGAGAAAGCUGUCCUUAAGUGUACUUUAAUAUAUACUUGAAAAUGGGGAAGGAAUUUAGAGAUCCAUAUAAUGAAAAUGUUAGGAGCCACUUUUAAGAAGAACUAAAAUUAUUUGGCCUCUCAACACAUUGUGUCCUAGUCCUGAAUGAUUGGGGGCAAGGGGGAGAGAGAGAGAGAGAGAGAGAGAGAGAGAGAAAAUAAAUGAGAAUUGACUAGAUUAAGCUAUAAAUUCAGAUUAUAAUUUGCCUUCAGUUUUGGUUUGUCUCUGGACUCUAGAACUGAACUGAUUCAGUGGGGUGUGUCCAUGCACACACACACACAGGAUUGCAAAUGUACAGGAUUGCAGUGUUCUGGUGUCAUGUUCUAGCAUUAGUCUAAGUAACAGUUUCUCAGCAUCUGAAAGUAGUUCUAUGUGUAAAGCCUGUAUGGUAAUCAAGGCAAUAAGUUCUCAAAUGGUCCUUUUACUCCUGCUUCUUUGAUUUGCUUUUAUCUUGGCAUAGUUUUCCUGCUUUUCUGUUUUUAUUGUAAGCAAAUAGUUGAAAAUUGUUCUAAUGCCAGGACUUUGGAACAAGUUACAAAUGUUUGAAAUUAUAUAAUCUACAAGCUAGUUUGCUGUCCUUGGACUAAUUAUAUAUAAGUGUGAAUUUCUACUGCAAGGACAUCCAGAUAGAGCUGGCGUUGUUCUAAAGAUUGGAUUGAAAAAUGAAACAACUUCUCCAUUUUGGCCAAGGAUUCCUGUUGGAACAGCUUUCCCAGAAGAGAAUCAUAGUGGCUAUGUCUGUCGAACCAAGAACAUUCAUGCAUCUUGUAGUGUUAUGUAGCCUGUGGAAUGAAUUCCUCUUCCCCCUGGAGUCCAGGACUGACUCUCCUGGAAGAACUCAACCUAUAUACAGCUGUGCCAAAAGAAGGCUACCUGCCUCUGAAACUCCCACUGCUGCUUCUGUCGUUGUUCACUUGUCAGAUACAAUUUUAUUCUCAGGAUGCAAAUUCCAAUAAAGUACAAACCCAUGGU
rnacentral:lncRNA from 1 species